AGCUGUUGCCUUUCCCAGGGGCCUGAGGAGACUGGGCCUUGAAUGUGAAUCCUUCAAAGUAGCUCCAUGCUGUGUCCCUGGGUGGGGCCCGGUCUCAGCC
rnacentral:miRNA from 1 species